rnacentral:rRNA from 1 species
AUUGGACGCUGGCGGCAGGCCUAACACAUGCAAGUCGAGUGGAUGAAGGGAGCUUGCUCCUGGAUUCAGCGGCGGACGGGUGAGUAAUGCCUAGGAAUCUGCCUGGUAGUGGGGGAUAACGUCCGGAAACGGGCGCUAAUACCGCAUACGUCCUGAGGGAGAAAGUGGGGGAUCUUCGGACCUCCCGCUAUCAGAUGAGCCUAGGUCGGAUUAGCUAGUUGGUGGGGUAAAGGCCUACCAAGGCGACGAUCCGUAACUGGUCUGAGAGGAUGAUCAGUCACACUGGAACUGAGACACGGUCCAGACUCCUACGGGAGGCAGCAGUGGGGAAUAUUGGACAAUGGGCGAAAGCCUGAUCCAGCCAUGCCGCGUGUGUGAAGAAGGUCUUCGGAUUGUAAAGCACUUUAAGUUGGGAGGAAGGGCAGUAAGUUAAUACCUUGCUGUUUUGACGUUACCAACAGAAUAAGCACCGGCUAACUUCGUG